UCCGUAGGGGAACCUGCGGAGGGAUCAUUACACAAUAUGAAAGCGGGCUGGACUCCCCCCAGCAGUGCGUUGCUUUGCGGCGUGCGCUGUUGGGGCCAGCCUUGCUGAAUUAUUCACCCGUGUCUUUUGCGUACUUCUUGUUUCCUUGGUGGGUUCGCCCACCACAAGGACAAACCAUAAACCUUUUGUAAUUGCAAUCAGCGUCAGUAACAAUAAUAAUAAUUACAACUUUCAACAACGGAUCUCUUGGUUCUGGCAUCGAUGAAGAACGCAGCGAAAUGCGAUAAGUAGUGUGAAUUGCAGAAUUCAGUGAAUCAUCGAAUCUUUGAACGCACAUUGCGCCCUUUGGUAUUCCAAAGGGCAUGCCUGUUCGAGCGUCAUUUGUACCCUCAAGCUUUGCUUGGUGUUGGGCGUCUUGUCUCCAGUUCGCUGGGGACUCGCCUUAAAGUUAUUGGCAGCCGGCCUACUGGUUUCGGAGCGCAGCACAAGUCGCGCUCUCUUCCAGCCAAGGUCAGCAUCCACAAAGCCUUUUUCAACUUUGACCUCGGAUCAGGUAGGGAUACCCGCUGAACUUAAGCAUAUCAAUAAGCGGAGGAAAAGA
rnacentral:rRNA from 1 species